rnacentral:rRNA from 1 species
UACGAAGGGGGCUAGCGUUGCUCGGAAUGACUGGGCGUAAAGGGCGCGUAGGCGGAUGGUACAGUCAGAUGUGAAAUUCCUGGGCUUAACCUGGGGGCUGCAUUUGAUACGUGUUGUCUAGAGUGAGGAAGAGGGUCGUGGAAUUCCCAGUGUAGAGGUGAAAUUCGUAGAUAUCGGGAGGAACACCAGUGGCGAAGGCGGCGACCUGGGCCAAUAUUGACGCUGAGGUGCGAAAGCGUGGGGAGCAAACAGG